rnacentral:sRNA from 1 species
CGCUGUGCUUGUGACAACUUCUACUGGAAAGUUCUCCAAGGGUUCUGUAGAGGCUGACAUCAUUCCUUCUCGGUCCCAAGAUCCUGCUGGGAGACCUCCUGAGUCAAUGUUGUGACCUGUGUGGAGAGAGAAGAGCCAACAGCAAUGGUCAGAGGUACACAGAGUCGACAGGUUUUAGAGCAAUGAAGACAGGAAGUGAGAUUUAUCAAUAAAAAGGGUGCCCCAACUCAGCUAGCCAUACUCAAGGCUUUCAGUUGUAUACAACAUGGACACCAACCUGAACCCAGGGAGAAGCCACCCUGGGGCAUUCAGUCUAUAGCAGCAGAGGAGUCCUGGGACUUCACUUCUAGCAAGCAAACUCCUGAAUUACCCAUUUACACUUCAACUUUGCAGUCAGAAUGGUCCUGACGACAUGUGGAAAGCCUUGGGUCCCAUCCUCAGUACUGAAACAAAUCAUAAAUAUCCAUCAUAUGAAACUAUGAUGGAGUCUUUGAGAUGUGUAUUCACUGUGCAAUGACAAUUUCAAGAGAAUUAAUUUAUGAGCCACAUCACAUACUUACCACUUUUUAUGGUUAGGAAAUGUAAACUCCACCUUCAGUAUACAGCACAUCGUCAUCUAGAAGCUAAUGAAACUGUAGUCUUCGACAACUGUGCAUAUGUUGUGGUUACCUUAGAGACUGGCAUAUGACUGGGCCCAUAAUUGUUCAGUCAGUGAAGAUGGGAAGAGCUCACAAGGGCCUGCCUGUCCCUGAGGAUAUGUGAACAACCAAAAGUUUCCGGCAGAAAGAGAACUUACUUCAGUGGUACAGAAGAUCUUUAAGUUGCCCCCACUCCUGUAAGUAACCUCUUGGCUGUGUUCACCCAUGCUGCUGAAAGUAACCACUCGUGCAUGCUCACUCACGCUCCUGUGAAGAAGUCCUUAUCUUUUCCCCUGUAAGUAACCCUGAGUUCACUGGUUCACCUAGGCGGAAUUAGGUGGAGUCACUGCUUUGGUCUGUGGUUGGUGCCUUAUGCGAGGUGAACAGACUUGUUUGUCUUCUCAGGGAAAGAUGUCUAAACAAUACACUGCAGUAUUCCCUCACAGAGUGGAAAUGCCUCAAAGUAUAAUGAGCCAUUUGCUCACCAUUCUGUGUGAGUCCUUUAUAAGAAAGUCAUCGACUAGAUACCCUAGGAAUGUUUUUUGGGGGGUGGGGCGGGGGAGAGACAGGCUGAAAACUGCGUUUAUAGAUGCACACAUGAACCUCACAAGAAGCAGAACACCCAGUGGACGGAUAAGGAUACUAACCCACCCAUAAAACCUUCGACCCAAAUUUGUUCUGCCCUAGAAAAUUUAAUAUCCAGGA